AUACAAAGCGAACAAAAAUAACUACAAACUCUUUUCAUGUGAAUAAUAAUUUUUUGUUAGAACGAUUGCUCAUAAAUGGCUUGUAGCGGCCAAGCGUUCAUAGCGAUGUCACUUUUUGAUCCUUCGAUGUCGACUCUUUUUUCUUUUGAUGUGAGUUUGUUCUCUGAGCUGGAUGGUUUGGUCGUGAAGCUUUCAUCGUCCUUCUGAACGACAUCAUCAGCAUAAACUUCGGGUAGAAGUGAAGUGUUUGAAUUUUUCCACAUGUGAUUCACAGCUUGUCCUGUGCACAGGUGCACAGUCCAAAGAACAAACCCACAUCAAAAUCACCCAUUUGAGCUACAAAUCUUCUCCACCAUGUCGACUCUGACUAUCAUUGUGAAGCAGAAUUCACCACUAAUAGGGAACGUGAGCUAUGUUUAGACCGUCGUGAGACAGCUUAGUUUUACCCUACUAAUGAGUACAUCAAUGAAGUACAAUCUGGCCUCUGCUAUGGUAAUACUGUUUAGUACGAAAGGAACCGCAGGUUCAGAUAAUUGGUAUAUGUGCCUCGUCGAAAGGCCAAUGGUGCGAUAGUUAAAAAGUAAUAGUCACUGAUGAAACAGACUACAAU
rnacentral:ncRNA from 1 species